UAUGCAUGUAUAUUUACAUCACAUGUGUAUAAUUAAUCAUUAUCUACCUUUAGAAGUAUACACGACUAUAAAAUUAUUACUGAUCUGUCUAUUUCCUUACGGUUGUGUUGUUUUAUUGUAGUGAAAUUAUUAUUACUACAAUCGUUUAUUACUACCUAUAUCCUGAAUCCUGAUCAUGGCGAAGUCUAAAGCGAAUAAAAAGUGAGUACUAUCGAUUUUUUAUGAAUUGUAUAUUUAUUCAAGUAAAAGUUGAUUUGAUGGUGUUAUGCAUUUAAAUAAAAUAAAACAAUGAUAGUUA